CAGUAGCCGCGGGAAUACGUAGGGUGCAAGCGUUAAUCGGAAUUACUGGGCGUAAAGCGUGCGCAGGCGGUUAUGCAAGACAGAUGUGAAAUCCCCGGGCUCAACCUGGGAACUGCAUUUGUGACUGCAUGACUAGAGUACGGCAGAGGGGGAUGGAAUUCCGUGUGUAGCAGUGAAAUGCGUAGAUAUGCGGAGGAACACCGAUGGCGAAGGCAGCCCCCUGGGCCAAUACUGACGCUCAUGCACGAAAGCGUGGGGAGCAAACAGGAUUAGAUACCCCGGUAGUCCCUGUCUCUUAUAC
rnacentral:rRNA from 1 species